GACGAACGCUGGCGGCGUGCUUAACACAUGCAAGUCGAACGGAAAGGCCCUGCUUGCAGGGUGCUCGAGUGGCGAACGGGUGAGUAACACGUGGGUGAUCUGCCCCUUACUUUGGGAUAAGCCUGGGAAACUGGGUCUAAUACUGGAUAGGACCAUGCUGUAGGUGGUAUGGUGGAAAGAUUAGUUUCGGUAAGGGAUGAGCUCGCGGCCUAUCAGCUUGUUGGUGGGGUAAUGGCCUACCAAGGCGUCGACGGGUAGCCGGCCUGAGAGGGUGGACGGCCACAUUGGGACUGAGAUACGGCCCAGACUCCUACGGGAGGCAGCAGAGGGGAAUAUUGCACAAUGGGCGCAAGCCUGAUGCAGCGACGCCGCGUGGGGGAUGACGGCCUUCGGGUUGUAAACUCCUUUCAGCCAUGACGAAGCCCUUGUGGUGACGGUAGUGGUAGAAGAAGCACCGGCUAACUACGUG
rnacentral:rRNA from 1 species